rnacentral:misc_RNA from 1 species
GAUGAAGAACGCAGUGAAAUGUGAUACUUGGUGUGAAUUGCAGAAUCCCGUGAACCAUCGAGUCUUUGAACGCAAGUUGCGCCCGAAGCCAUCAGGUUGAGGGCACGUCUGCCUGGGCGUCACAUAUCGUUGCCCAAUGCCUAUUGCAGUGCAAUAGGAAUUUCUAGGGCGAAUGAUGGCUUCCCGUGAGCGUUGUUGCCUCGCGGUUGGUUGAAAAUCGAGUCCUUGGUAGGGUGUGCCAUGGUAGAUGGUGGUCGAGUUAGAACGAUACCGAUCAUGUGCAUGCUCCCCAAAAUAUGGCCUCUAUGACCCACACGCGUCUUUUGACGCUCAUGACGAGACCUCAGGUCAGGCGGGGCUACCCGCUGAAUUUAAGCAUAUCAAUAAGCGGAGGA